CUACGGGAGGCAGCAGUGGGGAAUAUUGGACAAUGGGCGCAAGCCUGAUCCAGCAAUGCCGCGUGAGUGAGGAAGGCCUUAGGGUUGUAAAGCUCUUUCGCACGCGACGAUGAUGACGGUAGCGUGAGAAGAAGCCCCGGCUAACUUCGUGCCAGCAGCCGCGGUAAUACGAAGGGGGCGAGCGUUGUUCGGAUUUACUGGGCGUAAAGGGCGCGCAGGCGGCUUUGUUUGUCAGAUGUGAAAGCCCCGGGCUUAACCUGGGAACUGCAUUUGGGACGGCAGAGCUUGAGAUCGGGAGAGGAGAGUGGAAUUCCCAGUGUAGAGGUGAAAUUCGUAGAUAUUGGGAAGAACACCGGUGGCGGAGGCGGCUCUCUGGACCGAUACUGACGCUGAGGCGCGAAAGCGUGGGGAGCAAACAGGAUUAGAUACCCUGGUAGUC
rnacentral:rRNA from 1 species